UACGAAGGGGGCUAGCGUUGCUCGGAAUUACUGGGCGUAAAGCGCACGUAGGCGGCUUUCUAAGUCGGGGGUGAAAUCCUGGAGCUCAACUCCAGAACUGCCUUCGAUACUGGAGAGCUUGAGUCCGGGAGAGGUGAGUGGAAUUCCGAGUGUAGAGGUGAAAUUCGUAGAUAUCGGGAGGAACACCUGUGGCGAAAGCGGCUCACUGGACCACAACUGACGCUGAGGCGCGAAAGCUAGGGGAGCAAACAGG
rnacentral:rRNA from 1 species